GACAGAGGGUGCAAGCGUUGUUCGGAAUUACUGGGCGUAAAGCGCGCGUAGGCGGUGAAGUGUGUCUGGUGUGAAAUCCCUCGGCUCAACCGGGGAACGGCAUUGGAAACUACUUCGCUGGAGUUCAGGAGAGGGUGGCGGAAUUCCUGGUGUAGAGGUGAAAUUCGUAGAUACCAGGAGGAACACCGGAGGCGAAGGCGGCCACCUGGCCUGAUACUGACGCUCAGGCGCGAAAGCGUGGGGAGCAAAC
rnacentral:rRNA from 1 species